rnacentral:rRNA from 1 species
GUUGUAUGGUUAAGUGACUAAGCGUACACGGUGGAUGCCUUGGCAGUCAGAGGCGAUGAAAGACGUAGUAACUUGCGAUAAGCCCAGAUUAGGUAGUAACAACCAUUUGAGUCUGGGAUUUCUGAAUGGGGAAACCCACGUGCAUAAGCACGUAUCCUUACCUGAAUACAUAGGGUAAGGAGGCGAACCGGGGGAACUGAAACAUCUAAGUACCCCGAGGAAAAGAAAUCAACCGAGAUUCCGAAAGUAGCGGCGAGCGAAAUUGGACUAGCCCUUAAGCUUUACACGCGUUAGACGAACGGUCUGGAAAGUCCGACGAUACAGGGUGAUAGUCCCGUAGUUGACGACGUGUGUUCAGUGAAAUCGAGUAGGGCGGGACACGUGAUAUCCUGUCUGAAUAUGGGGGGACCAUCCUCCAAGGCUAAAUACUACUGACUGACCGAUAGUGAACCAGUACCGUGAGGGAAAGGCGAAAAGAACCCCUGUGAGGGGAGUGAAAUAGAACCUGAAACCGUGUACGUACAAGCAGUAGGAGCAGGCUUUGUCCUGUGACUGCGUACCUUUUGUAUAAUGGGUCAGCGACUUAUAUUCAGUGGCAAGGUUAACCAUCUAGGGGAGCCGUAGGGAAACCGAGUCUUAACUGGGCGUU